rnacentral:rRNA from 1 species
UACCUGUAUAAGCAGCCCCGGCUAACUCCGUGCCAGCAGCCGCGGUAAUACGGAGGGGGCGAGCGUUGUUCGGAGUGACUGGGCGUAAAGAGCACGUAGGCGGUGAUGUAAGUCAUUGGUUAAAGGCAGCAGCUCAACUGCUGUAAGGCCGAUGAUACUAUGUUGCUGGAGUGCCGGAGAGGAUUGCAGAAUUCCUGGUGUAGCGGUGAAAUGCGUAGAUAUCAGGAGGAAUACCUGUUGCGAAGGCGGCAAUCUGGUCGGUAACUGACGCUGAGGUGCGAAAGCGUGGGUAGCAAACAGGAUUAGAUACCCUGGUAGUCCACGCUGUAAACGAUGGACGCUAGAUGUCGGGAGGUAUACUUUCGGUGUCGCAGCAAACGCGAUAAGCGUCCCGCCUGGGGAGUACGUUCGCAAGAAUGAAACUCAAAGGAAUUGACGGGGGCCCGCACAAGCGGUGGAGCACGUGGUUUAAUUCGAUGCUA